rnacentral:rRNA from 1 species
CUACGGGCGGCUGCAGUGGGGAAUAUUGCACAAUGGGCGAAAGCCUGAUGCAGCGAUGCCGCGUGAGGGAAGAAGGUCUUCGGAUUGUAAACCUCUGUUUUCAGGGACGAUAAUGACGGUACCUGAGGAGGAAGCUCCGGCUAACUACGUGCCAGCAGCCGCGGUAAUACGUAGGGAGCGAGCGUUGUCCGGAAUUACUGGUGCAAAGGGAGUGUAGGCGGGAAAACAAGUCAGAAUGUGAAAACUAUGGGCUCAACCUGUAGACUGCAUUUGAAACUGUUUUUCUUGAGUGAAGUAGAGGUAAGCGGAAUUCCUAGUGUAGCGGUGAAAUGCGUAGAUAUUAGGAGGAACAUCAGUGGCGAAGGCGGCUUACUGGGCUUUUACUGACGCUGAGGCUCGAAAGCGUGGGGAGCAAACAGGAUUAGAUACCCCGGUAGUC